CAGCUACCGGUAUGCAGAGGAGAUUUGCUGGAAAAGAGUCUGACUGAGGAGGAGGUGCAGGACCAAGCUGUAUGGAGAAGGUCGAUCAAACACAUUGACCCCACACAGAAAUAGGAAAAGAGGAAGAAGAAGAAGAAAAAUGGAUUUGGAAGGAAAUAAAAGAUAUACUGCAGAUGUUGCGGAGUUACUUCAACUCAUACUCAAUAACCCUUGAAGUAUUACUCAGCGUGGCCAUAUGUUGAUCAUUUACUGCAAGAAAUGAACCGGACAGUUGGGUGGAUCGAUUGAUUGGUCUUUCUGAUACAGGAAGUGGCCUGAGAGCAGUUUAAGGUUGACGUGCGAUCCGAAUAGAACACAUCACCUAAAGGGUUGUGAAUUAUAGCAGCAUCGUCCAGUAUAGUCCAGAUGGAGUGUUAUAAUACCAAGAACAGAAACAGAACAGAGGAGGAUCAGCUGAAGGAGAUCCUGCCUGACUCUAAGGACGUCACUUCCAGUUCCACCUUCCUGACAUUACUUCCGGUUCCAGUUCCACCAGUUCUCCUAUAACCACCAUUUUCAACACUAUUGAUCUGUUCUGCUUUGGACUCCAGUCUCUAAAGACCGUUUUUUUCACUCAACCUACAUGUUGCCAAGUAUACGGGCUGGCUACCACAAACUUCA